GAUGAAGAACGUAGCGAAAUGCGAUAAGUAGUGUGAAUUGCAGAAUUCCGUGAAUCAUCGAAUCUUUGAACGCACAUUGCGCCUUCUGGUAUUCCGGAAGGCAUGCCUGUUCGAGAGUCAUUAACAACCGUUUCGAUCCCUUUCUUUCAGAAAUUACAAAGAGGAAAAGGGUUUGGUUAUGGUGGAGGAGGGAAAGAGGGAGCGUUUAGCCUGUAAAAAAAGAGGCUGUGUUCCGCCUCCCCCCCAAAAUUGUACAGGCGGUCGUGUGCGCCCACGCAUCGAGGUGUUGUAAAAGCUGCCACGGCACUUUUCACCUGUGCAGCGCGAGAUUGGCCAGCCGGUUUAAAAACCCCUCCAAACAAUCAAAGGUUGACCUCGGAUCAGGUAGGGAUGCCCGCUGAACUUAAGCAUAUCAAUAAGCGGAGGA
rnacentral:misc_RNA from 1 species